rnacentral:rRNA from 1 species
AACGAACGCUGGCGGCGCGCCUAAUACAUGCAAGUCGAGCGAGAAGACGUAGCAAUACGUUUGUAAAGCGGCGAACGGGUGAGGAAUACAUGGGUAACCUACCCUCGAGUGGGGAAUAACUAGCCGAAAGGUUAGCUAAUACCGCGUACGCUCCUUGGACUUCGGUUCAGGGAGGAAAGCGAUACCGUGGGUAUCGCGCUCUUGGAUGGGCUCAUGUCCUAUCAGCUUGUUGGUGAGGAACGGCUCACCAAGGCUUCGACGGGUAGCUGGUCUGAGAGGACGAUCAGCCACACUGGCACUGCGACACGGGCCAGACUCCUACGGGAGGCAGCAGUAAGGAAUAUUGCGCAAUGGGCGAAAGCCUGACGCAGCGACGCCGCGUGGGGGAUGAAGGUCUUCGGAUUGUAAACCCCUUUCGGGAGGGAAGAUGGAACGAGCAAUCGUUCGGACGGUACCUCCAGGAGCAGCCACGGCUAACUUCGUGCC